rnacentral:tRNA from 10 species
GGGGCCGUAGCUCAGUUGGUAGAGCGCGUCGUUCGCAAUGACGAGGUCAGGGGUUCGAUUCCCCUCGGCUCCACCA